AAAUACAUUAACAUUAGUGACAAUGUGAAGAAAGGGAAAUUUAAAGACCAGCGUUUAAAAGAUGUUAAUUCCCCAACUACUGCACAUUGGGCUCACUGUAUAUUUGAUGAGUAUGAAAAAAAUUUAAAUCCUAUGCUAUAGACUUCACAGUCACAGUGCUGCCAAACAAAAUCUGGCCAUGAUCUGACAUGAUCUUAUUUUAUGCUACAGAGGCAUAAUUUAGAAAGCAUAAAAUAAUAGUCUUAUUAUGUCAUUGAAAUGUCCCAAAUUGCAUGGUAAAUGGAGAAGACAUGCUGUUUUUAUAAUUUAGAAGAUGGCUUGUGUGGUGAAACUUUUUUCUGCCCUGGAAAGAACUUACAAACCUGGCAUGCAGACCUCUGCUAGUAACCUGUAGAGGAUCCCUCCUGGGCUGUCAGAAGGGUCUCGAUCAGUGAUGUCCACCACAAGGCACUCUUCCCAGCAGCCUACCUGCUCUGCCACACAGUCCACAGUUACCACCUGCUGAUCACCUGCUGAAAGGAUGCCAAAGCAUGGAGACAAGGAGAACAACCCCAGAGGCAAACGUGUCUAAGGAAUUGAGUCAAGACAAAAAAAUAAAUAAAGUUACUUAAUUUUUGGCAUGAAAUUCAAUAAAAUGUUUUAUACAGUAAAAAAAAAAAAAAAAAAAUCAAAGCAACCAACAAAAUUCAAGUGAUUAAUCAUAUGCAAAGCAUUUAGUAGUAACAGAAUUCAACAUUCUGAUCAAAUCCUGAAUGCUUUUUCACAUGGUCUACUAAAAAAUUCGACUCAUACGAAUUUGAAGAAUAUUGAAUAUCAGUUUUUAAUUAAUUUUUAAUUUUAAUCAGUUUUUAAUUAAUUUUAACAAAGGUGAACCAACUAGAAACCCACUGAAAUAUACUGAGAACAAGACAUAUAAAGGUUGUCCCUUACCUGAGAAGGUAUGGUGUCCCUAUUAGUGUCCUUCUGAACAGAGUCAGACUGGCGUGGUUUAAUGGCUACGGAUAAUGGUCUUGCAGAGUUACCCUCUCUGGAAGUUAUCUUGCCUAUUCUAUAAGAAAUAAGGCUCCCAAUCAAAGACAAGCUCAUUCAUUAAAUAACAUGAUCAAAUCUCAAUAUGUAUGGAUCAGUGUAUGUACCCUCUCUUCUGCUCAGAUGCUGGGAGAUCUUUAAACAUUCUGGAGAUGGUAAAAGAGAUCUCAAAUUCACCCUUAUUCUCCACAGUAAUUGUCUGGGUCUUGUGGGAACCAUGCAUUACCGGACCAAAGUUGAUGUCAUUUGCAGGGUAGAUGCUGUACUUAGAAUAGACACACUGCACAGACACUUUGAUGGGUAUGAUCUUAAUGGUUUCAUCAAUAUUUGGCUCAAUGACCUAAAACAAGCAAACACAAGUUAUUUUUCACAUGAAACAGAGACUGAACAAAAUCUAUACUAAGGGAUUUUCUUCUGACCUGGCAUUGUAAAAUUGGCUGUUGUCUAAGAGACACCUCCUUGUUGUAGCAGAAGAUGACUUGGACACAUGUGGGCCGGUCACUGGGAUGAAGAGUGCCUUUUUGAGGCGCAAUUGUGAAGACUGAGUUGAGGUUAGGCAUUUGAGGCUCCGUAGGCUCCAGGACAAACCUCAAACAUUGAUAAUAUUUCACAUUAGCCACUGAGCUUUUAAUGGUAUUUUUAUUCCUAUAAAAAUUAAAAUAUAUAUUGGAUGCUUAUGUAGAGUAUGUGGGUGUGAACAUACUUGUAGGCAAUAUCAUGUUUCCCCUUGUUUUUCAGAUUAACAGAUAACUUCACUUGUUCUGAUACUCUGAUUACGCCAAAGUCCAGACUGUUAUUCGUACCUAACAUAAUUGUUAUCAAAACAAAAUACAAACAAAUUGUUAUUUAUGAACAGAUAAAAAAACUUGUUGGGUAUGGAUGAAGGAUUUAAACUACCUUUGGGUAAGGUAAUUUCCACGGCCACAUCAUAAGCUUCUGCCACAAUAUUAAUGUUCUCAGUAUGGACAACACCGAGAAUAUUCUCUACAUCUGACACCUGGAAAACACACACACACACACACACACACACACACACACACACACACACACACACACACACACACACACA